UUGACGGGGAUCGAAUUCCCGCGGCCGCCAUGGCGGCCGGGAGCAUGCGACGUCGGGCCCAAUUCGCCCUAUAGUGAGUCGUAUUAACUCAGGGAAACUUGGGGUAAUACCGCAUACGCCCUUCGGGGGAAAGAUUUAUCGCCGAUAGAUGAGCCCGCGUCUGGUUAGCUAGUUGGCGAGGUAAUGGCUCACCAAGGCGACGAUCAGUAGCUGGUCUGAGAGGAUGACCAGCCACACUGGGACUGAGACACGGCCCAGACUCCUACGGGAGGCAGCAGUGGGAAUAUUGGACGAUGGGCGCAAGCCUGAUCCAGCCAUGCCGCGUGAGUGACGAAGGUCUUCGGAUUGUAAAGCUCUUUUGGCGGGGACGAUAAUGACGGUACCCGCAGAAUAAGCCCCGGCUAACUUCGUGCCAGCAGCCGCGGUAAUACGAAGGGGGCUAGCGUUGUUCGGAAUUACUGGGCGUAAAGCGCACGUAGGCGGAUUGCUAAGUCAGGGGUGAAAUCCCGGGGCUCAACCUCGGAACUGCCUUUGAUACUGACAGUCUUGAGUCCGGAAGAGGUGAGUGGAAUUCCUAGUGUAGAGGUGAAAUUCGUAGAUAUUAGGAAGAACACCAGUGGCGAAGGCGGCUCACUGGUCCGGUACUGACGCUGAGGUGCGAAAGCGUGGGGAGUAAACAGGAUUAGAUACCCUGGUAGUCCACGCCGUAAACUAUGGAUGCUAGCCGUCGGCAAGCUUGCUUGUCGGUGGCGCAGCUAACGCUUUAAGCAUCCCGCCUGGGGAGUACGGCCGCAAGGUUA
rnacentral:rRNA from 1 species